CACAGACUUUAGUUGAGAAGGGAUAUGAACUUGUUUCUGGUGGAACUGAGAACCAUUUAGUUUUGGUGAAUUUGAAGAACAAGGAUAUUGAUGGCUCCAGAGUUGAAAAGGUGCUGGAAGCUGUUCACAUUGCUGCAAACAAAAACACCGUUCCAGGAGAUGUAUCUGCCAUGGUUCCUGGUGGCAUAAGGAUGGGAACCCCCGCUCUUACAUCUCGGGGAUUUGCUGAG
rnacentral:misc_RNA from 1 species